UUAAGCGACUAAGCGUACACGGUGGAUGCCUAGGCAGUCAGAGGCGAUGAAGGGCGUGCUAAUCUGCGAAAAGCGUCGGUAAGGUGAUAUGAACCGUUAUAACCGACGAUACCCGAAUGGGGAAACCCAGUGCAAUUCGUUGCACUAUUGCAUGGUGAAUACAUAGCCAUGCAAGGCGAACCGGGGGAACUGAAACAUCUAAGUACCCCGAGGAAAAGAAAUCAACCGAGAUUCCCCCAGUAGCGGCGAGCGAACGGGGAGGAGCCCAGAACCUGAAUCAGCGUAUGUGUUAGUGGAAGCGUCUGGAAAGUCGCACGGUACAGGGUGAUAGUCCCGUACACAAAAAUGCUAUGUUGUGAGUUCGAUGAGUAGGGCGGGACACGUGACAUCCUGUCUGAAUAUGGGGGGACCAUCCUCCAAGGCUAAAUACUCCUGACUGACCGAUAGUGAACCAGUACCGUGAGGGAAAGGCGAAAAGAACCCCGGCGAGGGGAGUGAAACAGAACCUGAAACCGUGUACGUACAAGCAGUGGGAGCACCUUCGUGGUGUGACUGCGUACCUUUUGUAUAAUGGGUCAGCGACUUAUAUUUUGUAGCAAGGUUAACCGAAUAGGGGAGCCGUAGGGAAACCGAGUCUUAACUGGGCGUCUAGUUGCAAGGUAUAGACCCGAAACCCGGUGAUCUAGCCAUGGGCAGGUUGAAGGUUGGGUAACACUAACUGGAGGACCGAACCGACUAAUGUUGAAAAAUUAGCGGAUGACUUGUGGCUGGGGGUGAAAGGCCAAUCAAACCGGGAGAUAGCUGGUUCUCCCCGAAAGCUAUUUAGGUAGCGCCUCGUGAACUCAUCUUCGGGGGUAGAGCACUGUUUCGGCUAGGGGGUCAUCCCGACUUACCAAACCGAUGCAAACUCCGAAUACCGAAGAAUGUUAUCACGGGAGACACACGGCGGGUGCUAACGUCCGUCGUGAAGAGGGAAACAACCCAGACCGCCAGCUAAGGUCCCAAAGUCAUGGUUAAGUGGGAAACGAUGUGGGAAGGCACAGACAGCCAGGAUGUUGGCUUAGAAGCAGCCAUCAUUUAAAGAAAGCGUAAUAGCUCACUGGUCGAGUCGGCCUGCGCGGAAGAUGUAACGGGGCUAAACCAUGCACCGAAGCUGCGGCAGCGAACGUAUCACUUAAAACGCUUAACGUGACGGCAAAGCCGGCAUGUUCAAGCCACACUAAACGUUGAGUUGGCCGAUGUGCUGACAAACGAACAGGCGUUUUAAGGAUACGUUCGUUGGGUAGGGGAGCGUUCUGUAAGCCGUUGAAGGUGGCCUGUGAGGGCUGCUGGAGGUAUCAGAAGUGCGAAUGCUGACAUAAGUAACGAUAAUGCGGGUGAAAAACCCGCACGCCGGAAGACCAAGGGUUCCUGUCCAACGUUAAUCGGGGCAGGGUGAGUCGACCCCUAAGGCGAGGCUGAAAAGCGUAGUCGAUGGGAAACAGGUUAAUAUUCCUGUACUUGGUGUUACUGCGAAGGGGGGACGGAGAAGGCUAGGCUAGCCGGGCGACGGUUGUCCCGGUUUAAGCAUGUAGGCGGAGUGACCAGGUAAAUCCGGUUGCUUAUCAACGCUGAGGUGUGAUGACGAUGCACUACGGUGCAGAAGUAGUUGAUGCCAUGCUUCCAGGAAAAGCCUCUAAGCAUCAGGUAACAUGAAAUCGUACCCCAAACCGACACAGGUGGUCAGGUAGAGAAUACUCAGGCGCUUGAGAGAACUCGGGUGAAGGAACUAGGCAAAAUGGUGCCGUAACUUCGGGAGAAGGCACGCUGGCAUUAGGUAAAGGGACUUGCUCCCGGCGCCGAAGCCAGUCGCAGAUACCAGCUGGCUGCAACUGUUUAAUAAAAACACAGCACUGUGCAAACACGAAAGUGGACGUAUACGGUGUGACGCCUGCCCGGUGCUGGAAGGUUAAUUGAUGGGGUCAGCCGCAAGGCGAAGCUCUUGAUCGAAGCCCCAGUAAACGGCGGCCGUAACUAUAACGGUCCUAAGGUAGCGAAAUUCCUUGUCGGGUAAGUUCCGACCUGCACGAAUGGCGUAAUGAUGGCCAGGCUGUCUCCACCCGAGACUCAGUGAAAUUGAACUCGCUGUGAAGAUGCAGUGUACCCGCGGCAAGACGGAAAGACCCCGUGAACCUUUACUAUAGCUUGACACUGAACAUUGAGCCUUGAUGUGUAGGAUAGGUGGGAGGCAUAGAAGUGUGGACGCCAGUCUGCAUGGAGCCAACCUUGAAAUACCACCCUUUAAUGUUUGAUGUUCUAACUCGGCCCCGUAAUCCGGGGUGAGGACAGUGUCUGGUGGGUAGUUUGACUGGGGCGGUCUCCUCCCAAAGAGUAACGGAGGAGCACGAAGGUUAGCUAAUCACGGUCGGACAUCGUGAGGUUAGUGCAAAGGCAUAAGCUAGCUUGACUGCGAGAGUGACGGCUCGAGCAGGUACGAAAGUAGGUCUUAGUGAUCCGGUGGUUCUGAAUGGAAGGGCCAUCGCUCAACGGAUAAAAGGUACUCCGGGGAUAACAGGCUGAUACCGCCCAAGAGUUCAUAUCGACGGCGGUGUUUGGCACCUCGAUGUCGGCUCAUCACAUCCUGGGGCUGAAGUAGGUCCCAAGGGUAUGGCUGUUCGCCAUUUAAAGUGGUACGCGAGCUGGGUUUAGAACGUCGUGAGACAGUUCGGUCCCUAUCUGCCGUGGGCGUUGGAAGAUUGAGAGGGGCUGCUCCUAGUACGAGAGGACCGGAGUGGACGAAUCACUGGUGUUCGGGUUGUCAUGCCAAUGGCAUUGCCCGGUAGCUAAAUUCGGAAGAGAUAACCGCUGAAAGCAUCUAAGCGGGAAACUUGCCUCGAGAUGAGUCUUCCCUGGGGCUUUAAGCCCCCUGAAGGAACGUUAAAGACGAUGACGUUGAUAGGCUGGGUGUGUAAGUGCAGCGAUGCAUUGAGCUAACCAGUACUAAUGAACCGUGAGGCUUAACCUU
rnacentral:rRNA from 1 species